CCUACGGGAGGCAGCAGUAGGGAAUAUUGCUCAAUGGGGGAAACCCUGAAGCAGCAACGCCGCGUGGAGGAUGAAGGUUUUCGGAUUGUAAACUCCUUUUGUUAGAGAAGAUAAUGACGGUACCUAACGAAUAAGCCCCGGCUAACUCCGUGCCAGCAGCCGCGGUAAUACGGAGGGUGCAAGCGUUACUCGGAUUCACUGGGCGUAAAGGUGGCGUAGGCGGGGUUGCAAGUCAGAUGUGAAAUCUUAUGGCUUAACCCUAGAACUGCAUUUGAAACUGUUAGUCUAGAGUGUGGGAGAGGUAGGUGGAAUGCUUGGUGUAGGGGUGAAAUGCGUAGAGAUCAAGAGGAAUACUCAUUGCGAAGGCGACCUGCUAGACCAUAACUGACGCUGAGGCGCGAAAGCGUGGGGAGCAAACAGGAUUAGAUACCCGGGUAGUC
rnacentral:rRNA from 1 species